AUUGAACGCUGGCGGCAUGCCUUACACAUGCAAGUCGAACGGUAACAGGUUAAGCUGACGAGUGGCGAACGGGUGAGUAAUGUAUCGGAACGUGCCCAGUCGUGGGGGAUAACUGCUCGAAAGAGCAGCUAAUACCGCAUACGACCUGAGGGUGAAAGCGGGGGAUCGCAAGACCUCGCGCGAUUGGAGCGGCCGAUAUCAGAUUAGGUAGUUGGUGAGGUAAAGGCUCACCAAGCCGACGAUCUGUAGCUGGUCUGAGAGGACGACCAGCCACACUGGGACUGAGACACGGCCCAGACUCCUACGGGAGGCAGCAGUGGGGAAUUUUGGACAAUGGGCGCAAGCCUGAUCCAGCCGUGCCGCGUGCGGGAAGAAGGCCUUCGGGUUGUAAACCGCUUUUGUCAGGGAAGAAAAGGUUCUGGCUAAUACCUGGGACUCAUGACGGUACCUGAAGAAUAAGCACCGGCUAACUACGU
rnacentral:rRNA from 1 species